GAUGAACGCUGGCGGCGUGCCUAAUACAUGCAAGUCGAGCGAACGGACGAGAAGCUUGCUUCUCUGAUGUUAGCGGCGGACGGGUGAGUAACACGUGGAUAACCUACCUAUAAGACUGGGAUAACUUCGGGAAACCGUAGCUAAUACCGGAUAAUAUUUUGAACCGCAUGGUUCAAAAGUGAAAGACGGUCUUGCUGUCACUUAUAGAUGGAUCCGCGCUGCAUUAGCUAGUUGGUAAGGUAACGGCUUACCAAGGCAACGAUGCAUAGCCGACCUGAGAGGGUGAUCGGCCUCACUGGAACUGAGACACGGUCCAGACUCCUACGGGAGGCAGCAGUAGGGAAUCUUCCGCAAAGGGCGAAAGCCUGACGGGGCAACGCCGCGUGAGUGAUGAAGGUCUUCGGAUCGUAAAACUCUGUUAUUAGGGAAGAACAUAUGUGUAAGUAACUGUGCACAUCUUGACGGUACCUAAUCAGAAAGCCACGGCUAACUACGUG
rnacentral:rRNA from 1 species